UCUUCCAGAACUGCAUCUAACAAAUCCUGCUGCAGAGGUAUAUGAAGGGAAGACAUGGUUUAAUGGAAUUGUGGCAUGCAUUAUUUUACAGAAAAACUGAGUGGUACUGCAUGCUGCACCCUGGGAAGUUAUAUGAGACCACUGCACUCCCCAGAGCAGUUCAGGAGAGUCAGAGUACAAACAAUUGCUUAAAUUUCCUUUGACUAUGGCCCAGUGUGCUGUGGGCCUCUGAGAAGUGCAGAUCUGAUCUACUGCUGAACAGAGACUGUACUGCUGCAGCAUUUUCUAGAUUUGUUCUGUCCAGGCCAUGGAAGUAAAACUAUGAUCUUCAUAAAUGCAGCUUAAAGGCAACGAAAACAAACAAACAAAUAAAUAAAUAGAUUAAUUUUUGUCUUUAAGGUAGGAGCUUCAUGGUACAAAAGGAGGAACAUUGCUGUACUACUUCUAUGGCUCUCUGUCACCUGAGAUCGACCAUUUGGAGAUGGUUGUUUCACUUCAGAAGUGGGAAAGGUGAAAAGGCUCCUGGCCAGUAAUCUGAGUCAAGAAAUGAGCAAUCAGGCCUGGAAUUACAAGCAAGGAACUGUUCUGAGAGUUAUUCACAGAUGAUAACAGGGUAAGACCUACACGGAAAAAUGGAGGGAAACAAACCCGUCUCAGGACACUGCACUUA